CACUCUCUCUGGUAAUUGGCUCAAAGGCACGAAAGGGGCCGGGACUAAGAAGUAGCCCCGCCUCCUGGUAGCACCGACCUAGGGAAACGCUGCUUGGAAAGCAUGGAGAAGAUUCUCUGGGUGUGAAAAGAUGUCGAGAAGCCAAAUCCAUCCCUGGCAUGCAUUUUCCUUUAAGUGUAUCUGUCUCUUAGCAGGAUGGUAGUCACAUGAGUGUGUAGGCUUCUGAUCCGGAUUUCUAUCUCGUUGAGCCGCGUGGUUCGGAACCGGGUGAGGAAGACCCGGCGGGUGCCGCGGGGCUCUGGAAACUCUGGAGCAGCAGUGGCCGCACAGGGUGGCCUGGGAAAGUCAGCAGUCAACAGUGCAGUGACAGGAGCCGCAGCCCUGUGGCCCUGGAACUUCCUAGAUGUGAAAUUUCAACAAGAAUUCAAGUCUUUUUUUCUAAGAAACUCAGAGAAGAACCACAAGAACAAUGGAUGCUUCUAUGAUAACUGCUCCCCAGGGUCUGUUAUCAUUCAGGGAUGUGGCUGUGGACAUCUCACAGGAGGAAUGGGUAUGUCUAGAUUGUGCUCAGAGGGCUUUGCACGUGGAUAUGAUGUUGGAGAAUUACAACAAUCUACUCUUUGUACUCCAUGGCCUUCUUGGAUUGGGGAUGAGGAUGUGGAUUCUCAGCUUUCUGUUCCACCAACAUAGCUAUUUGCUGUCAGCCCUCCCUGUUGUAAUAAACUCUUUGCCCAUUGGAA